rnacentral:rRNA from 1 species
AUUGAACGCUGGCGGCAGGCCUAACACAUGCAAGUCGAACGAGUGGCGGACGGGUGAGUAAUGUCUGGGAAACUGCCCGAUGGAGGGGGAUAACUACUGGAAACGGUAGCUAAUACCGCAUACCAUCGGAUGUGCCCAGAUGGGUUUGGCUAGUAGGUGGGGUAACGGCUCACCUAGGCGACGAGCCCUAGCUGGUCUGCGCGGAUGACCAGCCACACUGGAACUGAGACACGGUCCAGACUCCUACGGGAGGUAGAAGUGGGGAAUAUUGCACAAUGGGCGCAAGCCUUAUGCAGCCAUGCCGCGUGUAUGAAGAAGGCAUUCGGGUUGUAAAGUACUUUCCGCGAGGAGGCGUUACUCGCAGAAGAAGCCCCGGCUAACUCCGUGCCAGCCGCCGCGGUAAUUC